UCGGAACGCGAAAAACGACGACGAUGACGGCGGCGGCCAAGGCGAAGUACGCGCGAGCGAACGCGAUCGUCAGACGGAUCGGCGACAUGAUUGGCCCCGGCGGUUACGGUCCAGUCGGACGACGGUCGGCCGACACGGCCGCUGCGGAAAUCAUGACGUUUGUUGGACACCGGUUGGGCACCGCCGCAGAUCCGUCCGAUAUUGCUCCUCGUCCAACCGAAAUCGGGUUUUUUUUUUUUUUUUUUAUAUAAAUAUAUAUAUGCUUAAUAACAAGACGUCCGUCUGUUUCCCGUCGCAGAUCGGGAGAAGAUCGCGCGAUCGCUAUAGAUCGUACGCAGUGAUUUCUGGCGGCGGAUAACGACACCGAAUAAUAUAUUGUAUUGACGCCG